rnacentral:rRNA from 1 species
GAUGAACGCUAGCGGCAGGCCUAACACAUGCAAGUCGAGGGGUAGAAGGAGCUUGCUCCUUUGAGACCGGCGCACGGGUGCGUAACGCGUAUGCAAUCUACCUUGUACAGGGGAAUAGCCCAGAGAAAUUUGGAUUAAUGCCCCAUAGUAUAUAACCUUCGCAUGUUGGUUAUAUUAAAGUUCCAACGGUACAAGAUGAGCAUGCGUCCCAUUAGUUAGUUGGUAAGGUAACGGCUUACCAAGACGAUGAUGGGUAGGGGUCCUGAGAGGGAGAUCCCCCACACUGGUACUGGAACACGGACCAAACUCCCACGGGGGGCAGCAGUGAGGAAUAUUGGUCCAGGGUCGAAAGACUGAACCCGCCAUGCCGGGGGCAGGAAGCCGGUCCUAUGGAUUUUAAACUCCUUUUAUAACGGAAGAAACCCCCCCACGUGGGGGGGCUUGGCGGUACUGUAGGAAUAAGGAUCGGCUAACCCCGG